AAAAAUUGUAAGUUUUAAUAUUAAAUUAGUAUUAGUUAUGAUCUUGAAAAUUAAAAAUUUUGGCGGUAUUUUAGUCUUUUUAGAGGAACCUGUCCUAUAAUUGAUAGUCCACGAUUUAAUUUACUUUUUUUAAAAGAAAUUUGUAUAUCGUUGUAGAUUUGAAUAUUUUAAAAGAAUAUUAAUAUUCGAAAUUUAAAAAAUUAAAUUAAAUCAGAUCAAGAUGCAGUUUAUAAAAAAGAAGAGAUGGGUUACAAUAAAUUUUAAUUUAUAUGGAUAAAUGAUUGAAAAUUAUUUUGAAGGUGGAUUUAAAAGUAAUAAAAAUAAAUUUAUUUUAUGAUUUUAGCUCUAAAAUAUGC
rnacentral:rRNA from 1 species